rnacentral:rRNA from 1 species
CAGUAGCCGCGGUAAUACGAAGGGUGCAAGCGUUAAUCGGAAUUACUGGGCGUAAAGCGUGCGUAGGCGGUGAGUUAAGUCUGCUGUGAAAUCCCCGGGCUCAACCUGGGAAUGGCAGUGGAUACUGGCUCGCUAGAGUGUGUCAGAGGAUGGUGGAAUUCCCGGUGUAGCGGUGAAAUGCGUAGAGAUUGGGAGGAACAUCAGUGGCGAAGGCGGCCAUCUGGGACAACACUGACGCUGAGGCACGAAAGCGUGGGGAGCAAACAGGAUUAGAUACCCGGGUAGUCCCUGUCUCUUAUAA